AAUGAUUGGCCAUAGAGCAUUUUUGUAGGUGGCUUUUUAAAUCCAUCAUCAAAUCCUAAGGCUCGAUCUUGGACAAGCGGUGGAAAUAUCAGGCUGGAGUAUAAUAGGGAUAAAGGGAAUUUUCAGUGGAGUAGUGAAUUGCGCAAAUAUCAGAAGGAACACCAAAGGCGAAAGCACUCUAUUGGGUCAACACUGACACUGGGAGACAAAAGCUAGGGAAGCGAAGGGGAUUAGAUACCUCAGUAGUCCUAGCCAUAAACGAUGGAUACUCUGUUGAAAAAAUAGCAUAUCAACAUGUUAUUUUAAGGGC
rfam:Citrus clementina cultivar Clemenules unplaced genomic scaffold scaffold_3, whole genome shotgun sequence.